CCUACGGGAGGCAGCAGUGAGGAAUAUUGGUCAAUGGGCGAAAGCCUGAACCAGCCAAGUAGCGUGAAGGAUGACUGCCCUAGGGGUUGUAAACUUCUUUUAUAUGGGAAUAAGACAGGUUAUGUAUACAGUCUUGUAUGUACCGUAUCAAUAAGGAUAGGCUAACUCCGUGCCAUCAGCCGCGGUAAUACGGAGGAUCCGAGCGUUGUCCGGAUUUAUUGGGUUUAGAGGGAGCGUAGGAGGAUUGUUAAGUCAGUUGUGAAAUCUUGCGGCUCAACGGGACAAUUGCAGGUGAUACUGGCAGACUUGAGUACAGUAGAGGAGAGCGGAAUUCGAGGUGUAGCAGUGAAAUGCGUAGAUAUCACGAAGAACACCGGUGGCGAAGGCAGCUCUCUGGACUGCAACUGACGCUGAGGCUCGAAAGUGUGGGUAGCAAACAGGAUUAGAUACCCUUGUAGUC
rnacentral:rRNA from 1 species